AUGUUGGAUAUAGUCUACAAGAGGAUUAGCAUCCAAGGAUUCCUAAUAGCUGAUCUCAUGACAGUGUAUGCAGAUUUCCUGUCGAAAACAGUUGAGUACCUCCACGAUGGAAAACUUAAGGCCAUCGAAGAUAUCUCACAAGGCGUUGAAAGCAUUCCCUCUGCUUUUAUUGGAAUGUUCAAUGGAGAUAAUAUAGGCAAAAAGAUUGUCAAAGUUGCAGAUGAGUGAAAAAAAGAAAAAGAAGAUUCACGGCUGUUGGCCUAUACAUUCAUGAAUUCGCGAACAAUAUCUUAUCUGUACUUCUUUCAAGUUGUAAUCCAUUUAAGCAUUCAUCUUCUGCAUCAAGUUAAAGAACAAGUUUACGUAUUAUGCCUAUCUGAAUCUUGUUUAGUUUUCCUUUUCAUGUAUCCAGGAUUGAAACAAACUCUGUGAUCCUAGUCUACCAACUAUGCCUCAAUCCCAAAUUUUUUAUAUCAACUCAACAAAGUGGAAAAAUACAUCUUUAGCAACUACUUCAAGACCACUAUAAGAUAAAGCAAUAUCAAGGUCCCCAUCAACAUAGAGACCAACUAUUAUGCCAAAAUGAACCCGGGUACUGCAAUAGCAGAGAAGUAAAGUGACAAUGGUUGUACGUAAGUUAGUUUCAAUAGAAUAACAUGAUGGAAAACACUAAAUGUACUAGUAUCACAGUAGAAACAAAAUUUGAGAGGAAUGGAUCAGGAAGAGGAUAAACGUAAUACCAAGUGUUACAUUAACGGCAUUAAUCAUGAACCUGCAGUCAUCCUUCCAUUCAAACAGACUGUCAACAGCCUCUGCCAACGCAGAAUGAACAACUAACUUCUUGUGUUUUCAAGAAAUUAUGGUCCUACAAUUGCAGCCACAGGAAGACACACACAUAGUAGUGAAUGCUUCAUCGUAAGGCUAUUCAUCCUUGACGAGAGCGGUUAAAAGGCACCACAAAGAUGCAUAACCACAACUCCCCUGGAGAGCAAAGAACGUGCCAAAACUAGCACUCAUCAACUUGCGACACUUUUUUUUUUGGGAGAACUAAUUGCAAUAUAAGGAAAAAGAAUUCGAUAAUAUGGACUAUUAUCAUCACAAGUAUCAUGUGACAGAUCAACAUCUAGUUCAGAUUGAUCUACAAAAGCCACACAUUCAAGGGAAGGAGAAGCUUGUUCAACAUUUGUUAUGAUGAACUUGACUUUAAGCUACCAAUAAUGUGAGACGAGAUUUAGCAGACAGGUAACUCUCGCUACAUACAUGCACAUGGUAUGGUAAUAACAUCAGUACAUUACAAAGGAACUGUAGAAACAGGGAAAGCCCGCAUUUCUUCAUUGCGUUCCAAGCAGUUAGCACAGAGAGUGAACUAGCUGUUCGGUUGUUCCUAACAUAGCUUUUUCACUUCCUGAAAAUUCAAUUAGACAGAUUAGUUAGCUGAUAACUGCAUUGACAUCUCAUAUGACAAGUAAAAGCAGUAAUGAUCAAGAAAGCAACACAUGAAGAGCGAGUCCCGACACAGUCUACAUUUAAAGUGUAUUAAACACAAGCUGCUGGCCUUGUUUGAGCAUAAAAGACGAGCUGCAUUUCCCUACAUUUAAAUAUGUCGAAGGCUCUUUAGUUCAUGUUGUAAGCAGUGAAGAUGAACAAAUACAAGGUAGUUGGAUAACCUCAAGCUAGACUGCAUGAAAGUGGUGUAUAAAUGGUAUACUUAGUAUGACAAAUCCCAUAAGAAAAUAAAAAUGAACAAAGAGAUGCUCAUCCUGAUUCCAGUGCAACAUAUUGACCGGCCCAAAAAUGGGUAAUUUGAUUCAGAUCUGGAACACUUCACAGAAAGCAUGACCCUCCCACUACUAAAAAAGACCAAAAAAUGACGGCCAAAAGUGAAGGACAAUGUCGUUUUUUUGGACAACGUUGCUUUUUGCAAACGAUGGCCUGCGUCGCUUUUUUUACCGCGGACAAAGUCGUUUUUUGAAAAAAAAAAAAAGAUCUUUUUAGAAAAAGCGACGUUGUGCGUGGUUUUUUGUUCUUCAUGUGUAGAAUAAAUAAUGAAUAAAAAACGAUGGACAUUGUCAUUUUAUUGAAGAAAAAUAUUUUUUUUUUAGAAAAACCGACAACGUCCGUCGCUUUUCUAUAUUUUUUUGAAUGCAGAAAUCGGCAUUUUCUGCAUUCCACCUGCCAAAUAAAAAUGCAAUUCAAUAUGUACGGCCCCUGACAACACACAUUACUAAAAUAAUCAUACAACACACUACAUCAUCAAAACAUUUAAGCAAUUCAAUUAAACAACAUCCAAAACACUUAACAAUUAAUCCAACAACAUCAAAACACUUAAGUGAUCUUGAAGGUUUUCCAAUAGUUAAAAGUUAAAAGAAUGUUUAAAAAGUGUCUAGAAGCCAAAUCCAAAAACACUAAGGAGUAGCCCCAACAAACUCCUCAUCACUUUCUCCUCAUCACUUUCUGUUUCUUCUUCGCUACUUGAAUCGGGAGAUGGAGAACGGUGACGACAACGAUGAGUCAUGCUAACCAUUUGUUUCUUAAGUUCCUCGAUGGUCAUGCACAUGACUUCAGUUUGAGCAACAGAUUGUGCCACGACGCGUGUAAGCUGUGCAAUUUGUUGCGACAUAUCAGCGAGCUGAACACCAUUAAUCGCCUCAGCCUGGCGCGAGGAACCAAUACCAGCCCAUCCAACCUCGAAGCGUUGCAAUUCAUUUCGAGAACCCAACCCAUAGGUUCUCCCCUUGUCUUCCUCCCGCCACUUUUUCGGUCCGAAUUUGAAUAGCUUCCUCCUAUGUAGGCUCGAUUGGACCAAACUCAGACACGUAGCGUGUAUAUUCAUUCUGCAUAUUAAAAAGGACACGUUAGUAAAUUUUACUAUUACUAAGUAAGGUGGAGCAUAACGUAAAUUUUAAUAUGUUUUGCUUACAUAUUGAAUACAAAAAUAAAUAAGAAAUCAACUUUUUUUUCCUAAACAUUAUUUUAAAGCUAACUUUUGCUUUCCAUCAAAUCUAAUUCGACAAGAAUUUCCACACACAACCCUUUGACUUUUUAAAAUUUGUUCCUCGUAUUGUUUCCACAAAUUGUACAAUUAAAGUUAGCAUGGCUACGUCUCAUUUCAUCCUAUUUCCUCAAUGUAGUGCCACAAAAAGGAUCCAAAUCAACAAACAAUAAGUAAAUCCAUGUUAGUCAAAUUCUUGAAACAAUUUUCCUACAAGGAUUAGCAAAAAUCGUUCGAUAACACUUCUUCCUAUUUCUUUCUCAAUGAUAUCCGACGAUCAAUUUUCCUUGCAAGUACAUACUCGGUACAUUGACCUCGGUCAGAUUUCAGAAAAUUAUGCUAAUACGUUGAUAUCAAACAAAAUAGACCUUCCGAGAAAUGCAUUAAACAAGCCUAUUAGUAAUUUGUACUUGGUGAUACAUCACCAUAGCAUUGAAGAGUUCUUGGAAAGGUCAAGUUACAGAUAUGAUUUGCUACGGUAUUUAGCAACAAGAUAGAGAAUUACUUACAGUAGGGAGACAACUUGUUUAAAAUAACAAAGAAGAGGAGAAUUGAGCUUUAGUAAUUAGAAGAAAGCAUCGCAUUAAACAACGCUUUAAAUCCCAAUAGAUUUAUCUAGAUUCCCCUGUUCAUUGGCAUCUCCAAUCUACACUAGUGAUAAAAACAGUUUAAUGUGUUUCCUCAAUCCUUUUCUCCUUCCAACCCACUUUUCUUCAUGACAACUUUAUUACCAAACUGCGAGAAGAUUUAAAUUGACCAAAUAUGCAACAGAAUGAGAAGAUAGACCUGGAGAAAAUUAUCAGUAAGCUAUAAGCAGCAACGAAAAGGACCAAAUUAGAUAGUAUCUCCUACUUUAACUCUUAUUCAGUAAUGCCACUAUUUCGUAUUUUUCCCUGUUAAGUUUCACCUAAGAAGACAAGUAAAAGUAGGUGCGAGAUCAAACACUAGCACGGGUUAGGCACAUUAUGCUGCCAUGAUUUCUGUGUCCGUGGUCCCCUUUAUGAUUACUCUAUCUAGAGGCCGAAUCGACCCCCUUAUAAAGCUUCUCAAGAAGAACACUAAAAUUAGUCCAGAAGAAAAACACAGAUUAUGUAGAUUGUAAUACCUGAAGAAAAAUACAGCUAGUAACUAGAAGCAAUGAGAAAACCAAAACAAAUCCAGAAGAAACUAAGCAGUUAGCUACCUAUUAGCUGCAAUGAGAAAAGCGAAAAUCAGAUACUAGGAAGACCGUAAUAUCGAUUCCAAAAGUAUCGAGUUUCCGCUUUAUGCCUCAUUAGGUUUCACCAAUAAAAGAUUAAUUAAAGAAGCCACUAGAUCAAACAAUAACCCUGGGAAGGACCUCAGCUUUAUCGGUGCAUUCACAUGCCAAACGUUCUAUGUUCAUGGUGCUCUUACUCCGACUAGAGGCAUAACAUUCUUUAAAACACCGCUGAACAAGAGAAAAGAUGUCCAACAUCAUUUAGUUCAAAGUCAAAGACAAAUUUAUUGUUCCUUGAAGAUAGUGCAUAAAGGAAAAAAUGACUAACAAGAUCUCGAAGCAAUACGGUUUAAAGAUGUCUUUUACAUAUGCAUUGUCUUGUUCUGUAUGCGAAAUAACAAUACGAACUUAACAGCAAUUGAGGAAAACAAAGUAUACUUACAAGUUCUUUGUCACUUGGUUUUCUUUGAUUGGAGUUUUUUCAGCCUUUUGUGUUUUGUUGCAUCUGCAGCCUCUUCUUUAGAAAAAGGACAAACUAGACUUUCAACGUAGAUUGCUAUCUUAGGAAACUCAUCAAAAUCAAUAACCUCUGAAUAUCUAAAUGAAGAAUCCUUCAGCUUGUAUAUCAUGGAAUAUUUAACAAACCUGAAAAAAAUUUCACCUUUGUUUGACAUGAAACAAGGCAGAUAAAAAUCACACCGCGGUGUAUCAAAAGGAUAAUUGACGGUUAACAUCUUUGUCCAAGAUUGUUUAACCCCAUACUCCUUCAUAACCCAAAAAUCUACAUGAGAGGUCGCAUUAUCACAAAAAAUGGAAAGAUCACUUCCCAACACUCCCAAAUACAAAUGAAUAUAUCCCUCUUUGUAGCAAGGAUGCUCCACUUCUCCCCAUUUCUCGUUAGCCAAAUCAAACGAUAUGAUGUUCCAUUCCUUAUAGUCACUUAUCAAACAUUCACCUUAGCAUUAGGCCAGUGAAGUUUCCCCUUCACUAAGAUAUCUGAAAUGUAUACUUCCUCUCGACUUUUACACUUCCUCAAUUGACAAUCGUCAACACUUCCCCAAGAAUCACACUUUAGACUAUAUAGUUUGAGCUCACCUCGAUCGAACUUUACCUUUUCUACAAAAGGUACCCAAUAACUUAUAAUCAUCAUGAAACUUAUCAUAUCCAAAACCAUACACGAGCGCUUUAUCAAACCACAAUGUAGCUCUAGGACAAGGUAAUUUUUUGUACUUUCUAUUCGAUGGAUUCCAUAGAAACAAAUUAUAUUUAGAAUCCACAAGACAAAUCAAUCCAUUGAUAGAACUUAGAAUUGUUAUAUAACUAGGCAAUUCAUUGUACAACCCGUCGGAUAUCAUACGAUGACCCAAGUCAGAUACCUCCGUAACAGAAUCAUUAAAUAAAGAAUCAAGAUUACAAUCUUAAAUAUUCACCCCCUGUAUAGAAUUCCACAUCACCCUAUGUUGGGUAUAACUACUAAGAUGAGUUUGGAUAAAUUCGGGGCUCGAGAUUAAAGCAAGCCAAGAUUUCGAAACACACCUGAAUUGCAAGAGGGACAAAACUCAACAUACGCUUAUAAUGUAGAUGCUCAUUAUUAUUAUCAGAUACAAUAAAAUGUGUAUUAUUAAAUUCGGGGCUAGAGAUUUAGCAAGCCAAGAUUUCGAAACACACAAACUCAACAUAAGCUUAUGAAGUAGAUACUCUUCUUACUACUCCCUCCCCUGACAAUAUUUGUCCACUACACUAAAAUUAAAAAUAAAUGUCAAACAAUACUUGUCUGGUUUAAAAAUCAAUGAAUAAUUUACCCUUUUCUACCCACUUUACCCUCGCUAUUAAAUACUAUUCAUCACUCAAUACAUUUUUCAAAAUAUUAAAGUUAUUACUCCUUCCGUCUAUUUUUACUUGUCCACUUUUCUUAUUAUUUUGGGAUGUGCAACAAUACUUGUCCAAUUUACAAAACCAAUGGUAUUAAAUAUAAUACAUCUCUCAUUUCAUUUUUGAAAGCAAAAAAAUUAUUAUAUUCAAAAGGUGACAUAGUAAAAUCACCCCUCCAUUUAUCGUUUCAAGGUACGUGCCAAGUAAAAAGUGGAUAAGUAUUUACGGACAGAGGGAGUGUAUUCAAAUUUUAUCCUUACUAUUAGAUACUACUCAUCACUCAAUACAUAUUUCAAAAUAUUAAAUUUAUUAUAUUCAAACAGUAAUAUCGUAAAAUUACCCCUAUUAUAUAUUAUUUCUUAACAUGCAUGCCAAUACAGGUAUUGUUGGACAGAGGGAGUAAUAUAUUCGGGGCUAAAUAUUAAAGCAAGCCAAGAUUUCUAAACAUACCUGAAUUUCAAAAGGGAUGAGUUCAGCCGGCAGAAGAGGGAUUGUAAAGUUCAAAUCUUGCAUUGAAUUUGAUGGAAAUCCAGCAGAUUUUGUGCGCUUCUUCCAUUUUUGGUGUUGAGAGUAGGCUUUAUCUUCCUCAUUUUCCAUUUGGGCGCCACAAAUUUGAGUGAAAUUUUCGCAAAGUUUAUAGUAGUCAGCUGUGGAUCGAAUUCGACAUGGGUCGGGUCGGGUAUAUUGGGAAUAGUGGGUUCUCUCUUCAAAAUUGGAUAUCUUUAGGCAAUUUGGGGUUUUUCGUUUAUCUAGAGUAUGGGUAACACAUUUAUUAAUUGUGAGUCAGGUAGACGAUUUGUAAAAAUUGAUCGUAUUUUUGAAAAUAACUUCUUCUAUUUUAUUUUAUUGAAUACUUGGCGCAUAACUUUAUUUGAUUAUUUAAUACUAUGGUAGUAUGGAAAAUAAAUAAUAGAAUACUCUUGAUUUGUAAAAAUAAAUAAGUAAAUUAAAAUUUUCUUGACUUCUGAUUUUGAAUACAAUUCUUUUAAUUUUGAAAUUGUGGGGUCUAAACGACCAAUUUUAAAUGAAAAAUUGGGCGUGUUGUAGCAUAGGCGUUUAGGUCAUAUCUCUAAAUACAGAGUUGAUAGAUUGGUUAAGUCUAAUAUUUUACCUUCUCUUGAUUUUGGGGACAUAGGAACAUGUAUUGAUUGCAUUAGAGGAAUGAUACAAAAGUGAGUGUGUAUCAAUAGAGUCAAGCCAACACAAGAACACAAGAAUAACAAGAUGAACAACAACAAUGUUAGUGAAUCGAAAUAGGCCACACACGGCUUCACUAGACUUCAAGGUUUACAAAAACAAUAAGAUGAUAGAGAUUACAAUAACAACAAGAAGAGCGACAAAGUGACAUCAACUAUAGUGAAUCGAAAAUAGCCCCACACGGCUUCACUAUGUUACCAUACAAACAACAAGAUUACAAAAUUAAAGAUAGUAACUUGACAUACAAUAUUCAAGAAUCUAAGAACCCUAACAACAUGAAAGGACCCUAAGAUUAAAGAAUAUUAUCACCAAGCUCUUACUUGGACCAAGAGGAACUCAAUGACCUCAAGAUCCUAGUUUCUAGCCAAGAUUCAACCCAAGUGUCACUCCAAUUGGGAAUUUCGGUUUUGAGCUUUUCCAAUGGAAGAGAAAAGUUCAAAAUAUUACAAGUCUUGUGUUCUCAAAAUAUCAUGAAUGAACUACCACAAGACUAGCCCUAACAAAUGACUUAUAUAGUCAAUUACAAAGGAGGGACAAAAGACCAAAAUACCCUUGGCAUUAAGUGGGUGGGUUUGGGGUGUUUUGUUGGGCCUCUUCACAUUUUAAUAACUAUAGGCCCUUUGAUGGGCUCACAAGGGCCUCACACAAGGCCAAGGAUGUGAACAAGGUUUGGAGUCGUUGCAACUCACGCGCUUGGCUUCAUGUGAAAGGUCUCGAGCUAGGAAUUCUCGCACCAUCCUCUCCAUCUUGAAGGGAAUUUGUCCUCAAAUUCGGAUCAUUUCCAUCCUCCACCGUGUCCACCCGAGAGAGGUCACACACGUUGAAAGUGUUGUGCACUUGAUAUUCCGGGGGUAGAUCAAUCUUGUAGGCGUUGUCGUUGAUCCUUUCUAAUACUUGGAACGGGCCAUCACCCCGCGGCAUCAACUUAGCAUUCCUUUUAGAUGGGAAUCUAUCCUUCCUUAGGUGCACCCACACCCAAUCUCCCAGUUUAAGAAUGAGCUUUCUUCUUCCUUUAUUGGUUCGCCUUGCAACUUCUUGGUUUUUCUUCUCCAACCGCAACCUCACCUUCUCAUGUAGCUUCUUAUGGCCUCGGCCUAUUUGCUUCCAUCUAAGCUUAUCACAAAAUCACUUGGCAAAGGGUUUAAAUCCAAAGGGGUAAGGGGGUUGAUUUCGUAUACACACUCGAAGGGUGUCAUCCCCGUGCUUGAGUGUAUAACACGAUUAUAAGCAAACUCAAUCAACGGUAAGUGCUCCUCCCAAGAAGUCAUUUUUCCCUUAACCAUGGACCGUAGCAUAGACCCUAAGGUCCUAUUUACUACUUCCGUUUGGUCAUCGGUUUGUGGGUGGCAUGAAAUCGAAAACAACAACUUAGUACCGAGCUUACCCCACAUGGACUUCCAAAAGUGGCUUAGGAAUUUAGAAUUCUUAUCACUCACUAUAGUCCUCGGAACACCAUGAAGUUUUACAAUAUUAUCAACAAACAAAGAGGCUACACUAGGCGCAUCAUCACAUUUAGAACAAGGAAUAAAGUGAGCCAUCUUGGAAAACUGAUCCACCACGACAAAAAUACUAUCCCGCGCCCUUUUAGUUCUCGAUAAUCCCAACACGAAGUCCAUUGAUAUAUCAAGCCAAGGACGCAAAAGGGUGGACAACGGGGUGUACAAUCCAUGGUGUUGGAUCCGUGACUUAGCUCCUUUGCACUCAACACAUUGGCCGCAAAUUCGGGCCACAUCCUUGUGCAUUCUGGGCCAAUAAAAUUAUUCUUCCAAAAUUUCGAGGGUCUUCUCGACCCCAAAAUGACCCAUUAGAUAGUCAUUGUGUGCUUCCUUCACAAAUAAUUCUCUCCACGAACUUGAGGGAACACACAAUCAUCUACCCUUAAAUAAGUAUCCAUCAAAUUUGGUAUAAGGAUAGGAACCCCUAUCCGUAACCCACCUAUCCCUAUCCAACUCUUUAUUUUCCCUAUAGAUAGGAGCGAAGUGAGGGUCCUCGGGAUAUAAAGACUUGAGGCUUUCAAACCCCAUCAACUUAGAUGACAAAGUAGACACAAGCACAUGUUUUCGGGACAAAGCAUCGGCAACCACAUUGUCUUUACCCUUCUUGUAAUGAAUAACAUAAGGGAAAUUUUCAAGAAAUUCAAUCCAUUUGGCAUGCCGCCGGUUAAGCUUGUCUUGUGCCCGUAGAUGCUUCAAGGAUUAAUGAUCUGUUUGGAUCAUGAAUUCUUUAGGCCACAAAUAAUGUUGCCAAGUGGCCAAGGCUCUAAUCAAGGCAUACAACUCAAAAUCAUACGUAGAGUAGUUUAGAGUUGCUCCUUUGAGCUUUUCUCUAAAGUAGGCAAUAGGCUUCAAUUCUUGCAUUAAAACCGUACUUAUGCCGACUUUGCUAGCAUCACAUUUGACCUCAAAAAGUCUAGUCAAAAUUCGGCAAUUGUAGUAAAAGGGUCGAGAUGAGCAUAGCUUUCAAGUCCUCGAAGGCCUUAGCUUGUUCAUUUUUCCACUUGAAAGGUCGAUCCUUUUUAAUCACUUCGGUCAAGGGGGCGGCAAUGGUGCUAAAUCCUUUGACAAAACGUCUAUAAAAACUAGCCAACCCGUGGAAGCAUCUCACUUCACCUAUGGUUUUGGGGGUUGGCCAAUUUUUAAUAGCGUCAAUCUUAGAUUCAUCCACUUCGACCCCUCUUGAGCUCACCACAAACCCAAGAAAUACAACCUUAUGGAGACCAAAAGAACACUUUUCUAGAUUGGCAUAUAACUUCUCCUUUCGGAGGACAUCAAAUACACAUUAUAAAUGCUUUACAUGCUUAUCUAAGGACUUACUAUACACCAACACGUCAUCAAAGUAAACAACAAAAAAAAUUCUGAUAAAUGGCUUUAUCACAUGAUUCAUUAGCCUCAUGAAAGUACUUGGAGCAUUUGUUAGGACGAAUGGCAUAACCAUCCAUUCACAGAGACCGAAUUCGGUCUUGAAGGUGGUUUUCCAUUCAUCACCCGAUUGCAUACGAAUUUGGUGAUAGCCACUCCUUAAAUCAAUUUUAGAAAACAAACACGAACUAUUCAAUUCAUCAAGAAUAUCAUCUAGCCUAGGAAUAGGGUGAUGAUAUUUUACUGUUAUCUUGUUGAUGGCUCGGCAAUCAACACACAUACACCAAGUCCCGUCUUUCUUGGGCACUAGUAGCACCGGGACUGCACAAGGGCUCAUACUCUUCUUGAUAUACCCUUUGUUGAGGAGUUCCUCAACUUGGCAUUGCAAUUCUUUGGUAUCCGUUGGGUUGCUCCUAUAAGCCGGUUUGUUGGGCAAUUGUGAACCCAGUACAAAAUCUAUUUGAUGCUCAAUUCCCCAAAGUGGGGGCAAUUCUUGUGGUAAUUCUUUCGGGAAGACAUCUUCGUAAUCCUGUACAACAUGAGAAAUAGGAGGAGAAAUGGAAACGUUAGUGGGGUUAGUAUUAAAAUAAUGAGCCAAGAGGAGCAUCGGAGUGUCCUCAUCAUGAUCCACAAAUAGUUCUUUCCUCCUAUACAUCAUCACCACACUUCCUUGCCCCUUAGAAAUUAGGAUCUCCUUGGUUUCUCCUACUCUCUCACUCUCGGAUUCCCCUCUUUUUCCCUCACUCUCGACCUUCUUUCCCUUCUUCCUCAAUUCCCGCAUCUUUUGGUGUAAUUCAUUCACUUGGGAAGGCAAUAAUGGAUGAAGAGCGAACUUUCGGCCAUCCUUCUCAAGUGUAUAUCGAUUGGACCUUCCAUCAUGUUUAGUCGACCUAUCGUAUUGCCAAGGCCUUCCUAACAAUAAGUGACAAGCUUGCAUUGGUAUCACGUCACAAAGCACCUCGUCAUGGUAGUUGACUACCUUAAAACGUAUCACGCAUUGCCUUGUGACCUUUAACUCUCUGCAUUUAUUCAACCAUUGCAACUUGUAAGGACUAGUGUGAGGUGUAGUUGGAAAUUUCAAGAAGUUCACCAUUGCAACACUAACCACAUUCGCAUAACUUCCACUAUAUAUCACCAUAGUGCACACACUUCCCUUCAUAAGACAUUUAGUAUGGAAUAGAUUCUCCCGUUGGCUAGGAUCAUCUAUCACCUUACUAAUCAUGGCACGCCUCACUACAAAGUUUAGAACCACACACUCCCCUUCUUUCGGAUAUGGAUCCUCACAAUCAUCAUCAUCAUCAUGUGGCUCAUUUUUGGGUUCCUCUCCAUCUUGAGUCUUGGCCUCAUUCUCUUCAUUUUUAAGACCCACUUCCUCACCAAGGUAAUACAAUCUCUCUUCUCUUAGGAUCACAUUGUGUCGGUUUGGACAUUCAUUGGCUUUAUGUCCCCAACCUUGGAACUUAAAACAUUGGAACCCUUUAGGAUUAGGAUACUUAUGAGCCUCUUGCCUUGGUGGAUAUUUUUGUAUUGCCUUGGCCUCGGGUUGCCUUGUAGUGGUGUGUUGGUCUUUGUUUUUGUGCCAACCCGUGGUGGAGGAAGCAACCUCCUUACCCCUCGGCCAACCCGAGGGUGCUUGACCCUUGGAUUUGUAACUUGUUCUUUCCUUAAAUUCUCUUUCAAUUUUAAUGGCCUCUUGAAAGAUUCCUUCAACGGUAUCAAAUUUAUGGAGAGUCAAGUGAGUAGUAAUAUCCUUAUUCAACCCACACUUGAACCGAAUAAUGUCAUGGACGAUUUGUUCUCCCCGAUGGCCAAGCUUCAACAUGAGUUAUUGAAACUCAUCAUAGUAUGCCAUAACACUUCGAUUCCCUUGUCGCAAGUUGUACAACCUCGCAAUCAACUCAUGACGAUACCUUUUGGGAAGGUACCAUUGCCUCAUUAGAUACCUUAAUCGAAACCAUAGUGGUGGUUGCCUAUGUAUCAACUCAUUUCCAAAUCGCUUGAUGUAUUCCCACCAAGUGUUAGCAUAGACUUCAAAGUGGGCUAUGGCAUAAAAACUCUUCUUCUCCUCGAAAAUAUCAUUCACUUGGAAUACCUUGUCACACGCUGAUUCCCAAGCGAGAUACACCUCGGGGUCACUUUCACCCUUAAAGAUAGGUAGACUCAAUUUGAUGGUAUUGAUGCCCAUGUCUCUCUCUAGGUGUUGGUUUCCCCUUUCUCUAUACCCUCGGUAUCUCCUUGGAUCCACACGACCCUCUCUCAUCUCCUCCUCCCUUAUGUAGGCAUCGUCAUAGGCUCCAUACCCUUCAUAAUCCCCUCUACCAUAUUCCUUAAGAUGGACAGGACGAUUUUGGACAUUUGGAACUUGAUUCGGAGGAAUUGGAUUUUGUGGAGGUGGUGGUAUUUGGUUUAGUGGAGCUUGGAAAGAGGGGGUUUGGGUUUUGUGGAGGCAUUUGACGUCUAAGUACCUCUUGCGGAACUUGAGGAAUUUGGGAAUGGGUUGGUCUAUUAGAGUCUCGAUUUAGAAUGUUAUGAGUGGUUUGGCUUGCGGCAUUUAGGGGAGCUAGUGAAGAAAUUGGCAAUUGUGGCCAUGUUUUGGGAGUAACGGUGGCGGAGGAAUUUCUAUCAUGUCCACUUGAUGAAACAUUUCAAAGAGUAGAAGGACGAGAGUUCCUUUGACUCUCCACUUAUUCUAAUUCCUUUGACUCUCCACUUGUUCUAACCUCCCACUAAUAGUCGUCACUUCUCACCUUAUGGCUCCCACUUCCAUACUCAAUCUUUCAAGAGUGACCCUCAUAUUCUUCAUUUCAUUAGAAUCCACGGUUUGACAUGUGGUUCCCUCCAUUGUCAAGGUAUCACCUACGCAAACAUCAAACACGUUAGUUAAAAUCCCUCUUCUCACUCACACUCGAGCUCCACAAGUGUUGUAGAUUGGCUAGUUGAAUCCUUAAGGUAUGAGUAUGCUUUUGUCCGGAGUGGAUUUUUGUUGGAAACUCAAAGAAUUCUCGUCGGAAUAGAGCCAAGAGUUACAACGUAUUCAAAUGACAAAAGAACACAAACAAACGUUGACACGAACACAAAGCUUCAAAGGACUAAUUAACAAGCUAGUAGGAAUGUACUAGGUUGUCAAUUAGUGUUCAAACCAACAAAAAACACUAAGAAACAAUAAAAUUAAACUAAGAAAUCUAAAAUUUGAACUCAAAAUAUUGUGUGAACAGUAAUUUAGUGAUGUGGCAGUCCACUAUUGGCCUCGGUUUUGUCAGAAUUUUACUCUCCAAUUUCAAGUCUUGACCAAUCUAUAAUUUGGAAAUGGUGGAAUUGGUUAAUGGAGGAAAAUUCGAUCUUGAAGCUUACUUUUCAAAUUCAAAACAAGACUUGACCUUCUUGGUACUUUCUCCUUGAAACAAGGUCAUUAAAUCAAGGAAAGUAGGUGAAAAGUGGUUGUCAAGUCUUUUGAGUGAUGUGAUCAAGUCUUUCAUCAACAAAUACUACAACUUGGUGUUUCACCUUUUGUGGAUCUAAUGUUAACUUUUUGUUUUAAAAAAGAUGAAAAGGGUGAAGAACAAAAAGAACACAAUAACAACCCCAAGAACAACCAACAACAACCACGGCCAAAACAAUCCACCACAACAACAAUGUUCAACAAUGGACAGCCAAGUUCAAGUUCACAAUAACAAAAUCAAUUUUUAGAGCUCAAAUCUAGAUCGACUCAAAGUGUUAGUGAACAAGAGAAAUAAAACUAGAAACAACACUGAAGACAAUUAAAAAUCUUUCGAAGACACAACAAGAAUACAAUUUUUGUCCAAGAACACAACAACGGACAGAUUUGACUGUUUCUGAAAUUUUUCAGUUUUCAGUUUUUUUGUUUUUUGUAGUUUUCAAGUCCCAAGCCCAAGAUUGAUCUUGUUAAAACAAAAUCGAAGAUGACUUUGAUACAAAAGUGAGUGUGUAUCAAGAGAGUCAAGCCAACACAAGAACACAAGAAUAACAAGAUGAACAACAACAAUGCUAGUGGAUCGAAAUAGGCCACACACGACUUCACUAGACUUCAAGGUUUACAAAAACAAUAAGAUGAUAGAGAUUACAAUAACAACAAGAAGAGCGACAAAGUGGCAUCAACUAUAGUGAAUCGAAAAUAGCCCCACACGGCUUCACUAUGUUACCACACAAACAACAAGAUUACAAAAUUAAAGAUAGUAACUUGACAUACAAUAUUCAAGAAUCUAAGAACCCUAAAAACAUGAAAGGACCCUAAGAUUAAAGAAUAUUAUCACCAAGCUCUUACUUGGACCAAGAGGAACUCAAUGACCUCAAGAUCCUAGUUUCUAGCCAAGAUUUAACCCAAGUAUCACUCUAAUUGGGAAUUUCGGUUUUGAGCUUCUCCAAUGGAAGAGAAAAGUUCAAAAUAUUACAAGUCUUGUGUUCUCAAAAUAUCAUGAAUGAACUACCACAAGACUAGCCCUAACAAAUGAAUUAUAUAGUCAAUUACAAAGGAGUGACAAAAGACCAAAAUACCCUUGGCAUUAAGUAGGUGGGUUUGGGGUGUUUUGUUGGGCCUCUUCACAUUUUAAUAAGUAUAGGACCUUGGAUGGGCUCACAAGGGCCUCACACAAGGCCAAGGAUGUGAACAAGGCUUGAAGUCAUUGUAACUCACGCGCUUGGCUUCAUGUGAAAGGUCUCGGGCUAGAAAUUCUCAUAUCAAGGAAAGUUGACUAAAACAAGCAAAAAGAAUGAUAUUUGUAGUUCUAGUUGUUGAAAAUCAUUCACCCAGACAUAAGUGGUCCGUAUUAUACUUCAAUAUGUGGUUCAAAUUAUUUUAUCACCUUUAUUGAUAACUUUUCUCGGUAUGAUUAUGUUUUUCUUAUUAAAAAAAUCAUAUUCUCUUGAAAUGUGCAAAGUGUUUAAAACUGAAGUAGAGAAACAACUGGGAAAGGUUAUUAAGAUAGUGUGGUCUGAUCAUGAGGGUGAGUACUAUGGUAGAUACACUGAGACUGGGCAACAGAUGGGACCUGUAACACCCCAACUUAGGAAGGAGUUCCACAUCAGCAAAACACAGGAGGAAUGUUUGGUAUAUAAGUAAGAAAACCUUACUCCCUAGUGAUGCGUUAAAUCCAUGAGGGCCUGGACCCAGAGUGGACAAUAUCACUAGUGGGUUGAGGAGUUCAGGGGUAUCUCGGGCCUUGAUGGUUCAGGAUGUCCGUUAUGGCCAGGGCCCGAGCUCGGGUCAUGACAGAACUCUUUGCCAAAUAUCUACAAGAUUGUGGCAAAGUUUCCCAGUACACCAUGCCUGGUAGUCCUGACCAAAAUGGUGUAGUCGAAAGGCGAAAUAGUACUUUAAAAGAUAAUAAUGAGAAGUAUGAUGAGUAGAUCUAACUUACCUGAGUUUCAAGCUAUUAAAACUGUACUUUAAAAGAUAUGAUGAGAAGUAUGAUGAGUAAGCUAUUAAAAUCAUACUUUAAAAGAUAUGAUGAGAAGUAUGAUGAGUGUGAAGCUAUUAAAAUUGUACUUUAAAAGAUAUGAUGAGAAGUAUGAUGAGUAAGCUAUUAAAAUCAUACUUUAAAAGAUAUGAUGAGAAGUAUGAUGAGUAAGCUAUUAAAAUCGUACUUUAAAAGAUAUGGUGAGAAGUAUGAUGAGUAAGCUAUUAAAACCGUACUUUAAAAAACUUGUACUUUAAAAGAUAUGAUGAGAAGUGUGAUGAGUAAGCUAUUAAAACCGUACUUUAAAAGAUAUGAUGAGAAGUAUGAUGAGUAUGAUGAGAAGUAUGAUGAGUAAGCUAUUAAAAUCGUAAUUUAAAAGAUAUGAUGAGAAGCCGUAAUUUAAAAGAUAUGAUGAGAAGUAUGAUGAUUAGAUACGAUGAGUAGAUCUAACUUACCUGAAAUCCUCUGGGUUGAAGCUGUUAAAACCUCCAUAUAUAUUCUUAAUUGUGUCCCUUCCAAAUCAGUCCCUAAAACCCCUUUUGAGUUGUAGAACCAACAGAAAAUUUAGUUUAAAUUAUUUUCGAGUUUAGAGACCUUCUGCAAAGGUAAAGAUAUAUAACCCUUCAGAAAAAAAAACUGAACCUAGAACCAUGCGUUGUUUUUUCAUUUGGUUAUCCAACUGCGAAUGUAAAGAUAUAUAACCCUUCAGAAAAGAAAACUGAACCUAGAAGUUGUUUUUUCAUUAGUUAUCCAACUCAUUCUAAAGGAUAAAGGUUCUACAGUCCUACAAGGGGAACAAGAAUAGUUGAAUCUCAAAAUGCAAAACUUCUUGAAUUUGAUGUUGCAGAUAAGGAUUGUUCUCAGCAUAUCUCAGCAUAUCACUCCUGACUUAAUUGUUUCCCAUUCAAGUCAGUCCUUAAAACCCCUUUUGAGUUAUGGACCAAUAUAAACUUCAGUUUAAAUCAUUUUUCGAGUUUGGAGAUGUUUUGCGAAGGUAAAGAUAUAUAACCCUUCAGAAAAGAAAACUGAACCUAAAACCUCGCAUUGUUUUUUCAUUGGUUAUCCAGCUCAUUCUAAAGGAUACAAAUUCUAUUAUCCUACAAGGGGAACAAGAAUAGUUGAAUCUCAAAAUGCAAAAUUUCUUGAAUUUGAUGUUGCAGAUAAGGAUUGCUCUCAGCAUAUUGCUCCUGAGCCAACUGAAAGUAUUGAAGCUGUCAGAAUUCCUCUUAGUAUUACCUCAAAAUCAUUAGUAUCUGCACCUAUACAUGAUGAACCUCAUAUACAUGUGCAAACUGAUGACUUUGUACCUGCAGAAAUUAGGUGCCUAUUAUUGAAAAAGUGGUUCAGGCACCUGCUGUUGUUGAUCAAGAGGUUCAGAAUUUAAGGAGAUCAAGUAGACCAAGACGAUCGUGCGCUAUUGGAUGAUUAUUUAGUAUACCUAGAUGAAGGUGACAUUGUUGAUCCUGUAACCUUUUCGGAAGCUUCAUCGUGUGCUCAAUCAAAGAUGUGGCUUGAUGCUAUGUCUGAAGAGAUAAAAUCCAUGAGUAAAAAUAAUGUGUGGGAGCUUUCAAAGCUUCCUAAAGUCUAAAAGGUUGUUGGAUGUAAAUGGAUUUUUAUGACCAAGAAGGAUUCAAUGGAAAUAUUGAACGAUUCAAGGCGAGAUUACAAUGAAACUUUUUCACCAGUGUCAUCUAAGGAUUCUUUUAGGAUCAUUAUGGCAUUAGUAACCCAUUUUUAUCUUGAGCUACAUCAAAUGGAUGUAAAGACAACCUUUUUGAAUGGUGAUCCUAAUGAAGAGAUUUACAUGCAACAACCCCAAGGUUUUGUUGGUAAAGGCAGCGAGCAUCUUGUGUGUAAAUUGAAGAAAUAUAUUUAUGGCUUGAAGCAAGCUUCUCGAUAGUAGUACUUGAAGUUUGAGGAAAUUAUGAAUUCUAUGGGGUUUGUGGAGAACAAUAUUGAUCAUUGCUUCUAUCUCAAGAUUAGUGGGAGUAAUUUCAUCAUUCUCACUCUUUACGUUGAUAAUAUUUUACUUGCUAGUAAUAAUUCAGGACUGUUGCACGAAAUUAAACAUUCAUUAAAUAAAAUUUUUGAUAUGAUAUAUCUAGGAGAGGCAUCAUUUGUUCCGGGCAUUGAGAUUCGACGAGAUAGAUCUCGUAAGUUAUUGGGGUUUUCACAAAAGGCCUAUAUUGAUCGUAUUUUGAAAAGAUCUCAAAUGAAAAAUUGUAAGCCUGGUGAUGUCCCUGUGGUGAAAGGUGAUAAGUUAAGCCUAGACUUGUGUCCCAAAAAUGAUCUUAAGAAAGAUUCUAUGAAAUAUGUGCCUUAUCGAAGUGUUGUUGAAAGUCUUAUGUAUGCACAAGUUUGCACUCGUCCUGACAUUGCUUUCAUUGUCAAUGCUCUUGGAUGUUAUCAAACUAAUCCAGGAAGAAGUCAUUGGGUAGCUACUAAGAAAGUAAUGAGGUGCUUGAAGAAGACAAGAGAUUAUAUAUUAGUGGACAAAAACGUUGACGACCUUGAGGUAAUUGGUUACAUAGACUCAGACUUUGCUAGGUGUCCUGAUGAUUUGAGGUCCACAUCUGGCUUUAUCUUUAUGUUUCCAGGGGGUGCGAUAUCUUGGAAGAGUGUGAAGUGAACUCUUAUAGCAUCUUCCACUAUGCAAGCAGAAUUCGUAGCUUGUUAUGGUGCAGCUACACAAGCCAUUUGGUUUAAGAAUUUUAUUUCAGGGCUUGUGGUAGUUGAUUCCAUCUCUAGCCCCUUGAAGAUUUAUCGUGACAAUAAGGCAGCUGUGUUUUACUCAAAAAAUAAUAAAUCUUCUUCAGUUUCUAAGCAUAUGAAAAUAAAAUCUCUGACUGUGAGAGAUAUGGUUAAAAGGGAGGACAUUGUGAUUGAACAUACACCUACCGAUUUGAUGUUUGUUGCUCCACUAAUCAAGGUGCUAAGACCUAUAGUUUUUACACAACAUAUUCAUAAUAUGGGUGUUGUUGAGUCAUUUGAUUUGUUGGGUUAGUGGGAGUAUUUAAUAUUGUUAUUCAUUUGUCAUUAGACUAUUCACCUUAUUGUUUCAUAUUUAUGGUGAUAUUAUCUCUUGAAUUUACAUUUAUGCUAUAGUAGAUUUUGCUAUCAUUUAUGUUGUUGAUUAUUAUUGUGUACACUUUAAUAUUGUUUUAUUAUAUUAAGGCUUUUUGCCUUACGUGUUAGCUAUAUCUCAUAUUGAUAAGAUGAUAUUGUUGUUUUAUUGAAUUUUUCUUUUGGAGACAUACGAUAUAUCAUUCUACCUAGUGAAUUUUUUGGUUGUUGCACCAUGUAAUAUGUUGCACAUGUUGAACCUUGAAAAUCAAGAUUUUCUGCUGGAGCACAUGUUGUUUUAGUGCUCACACAUGUUGUAACAAAAUCGCGGUGAUGAUUUUUCUAUGGUACGCAUGUUGAUUUUAAACGUACAUGUUAAUAUGAAAAAUCGUUUGAAGGACUAACAAUGAAAUAGCCUCGAUUUGGAGUCCAUGUUUGCUAUUUUUUGCUACACUACCACAUUAUUUGGUUUAUGUCUACAAAACUUCAGUGUUAGUAAUCGUGGACUGAUUUUGUAUCGUUGGUUGAUGCACGUACUGUUGCAGUUCAACAGUGAUGUUUUCCUUGACUGAACUAUGUUGGAGAUGGCGUUCCACCACUAAAUAUUUAUGGCCACUGUCUACUCAGUUUGAGAGUCAUUUUCAUAAAAAUAUUUUUUUCAAAACUUUUCUUUAAAAGUUAACGUUGUCAAGUGAAAGAAUGUUAGAAUUAUUUAUUUUAUAUGGACUUAACGUUAACUUUUUAUUACAUUAAAGUAAAACGAGAUGAUGAUAUUAAUUGGUGGACAAGACACAGGUCGUGUAUUCAUGUGGAUUCCAUAUCGGCCUGUAUCCAUUUCAUAUUAUUGGUAUGGGCUGACAAUAAUGUAGGCCUGUAGUAGACCUGUGAGCCCAUAAUGAGGGUGCACUAGGUUAAGGCUUUUAAGCCUAUAAAUAUAAGGCUAGGUCCCCUCUCCUGAUUUUAACAUAAGACGUAUUCCCAUAACUUAAGUUGCUACUAUCAUAAGCAAAGGAGAGGAAGACUCCGCCUAGUUCGUCUUCCAUUACAUGUAAGCAAUGACGAACAAAGGUACACACCUUUCCUCUCUCAUAUUCCGUUAUUUUGUGUUCUUGAUUUAUGUGAAUCUGUGAUGUGUUUCUCUAUUAAUUUCAACAUAAAAUGCUUCUCCAUAUUUUUUUUUUUUUAAGUGGCUAAAUUCCCUUUUUGUAAUUACUUGGAUCAUGUGUUAUCGAUUCAUUGAUUAUUUUUACUAAAGUUCAUUAUUUAAAAAUUAUUUUGGCACAAAUGACAAAUGACAUCAUUUUAUUCAAUGUUUUACACAUCAUUCGCGAGUGUGACUCACACAUGUGAUAUAUUUUGUAUUGAUUAUGUAAAAAGUGCCAAAAUUAAGUAGUAAAACAACAGUUAAGAUGUUUAAAAUGAACCAUAUAUAGUUGAAGUGCACAAAUAAAAAUUGAUGAUGACUUCAAGGAGGUGGGGAUGUGUUUGGCCACAAUAGGAACUUUCUAUCUCUCUUAAGUUAUAUAUUUCCAUUGUCACUUCAAUUGAAUCCAAUAUUUCUAGGCUCAAAUGAAAUAUUGAUUCUAUUUUGUUGACAAUGUUCUGAAAACAUUCAGAAUAUUAUACUCACUCGGUGUUUAUAUCAAAAUAAAUAAUUUAACUUCAGAAAUUAAAAAAUGAAAUGACAAUACAUAUUUUUCAGUAAGAAAUUUUUUGAUUGCAAUCACAAGAAAACAAAUGAAAACAACAAAAGCUUAGUUUAUGAGCAACAAUGAAUGUCAAUUUGUCUUUAUUUUUUUUAGAACUUAUUUCUCAUCACAACUUAUCUCUGCCUUCUUGUGAGGGGCAAGGCCUGCUGUUUAAAUUGUCUUGUUCUUAGAUAUUUCUUUAAGGCAUCUGAUACUGACAAUUUUUGUCUUGGUUUGAGACAACAUAAAAAAUAUCUAUGCACUUUGUCAUUUUCUUUAUUUUGAUGUUUCACCUACCUCAUAGAUCUAAAGGAGAUGUUCAAAAACAAGAACAAUGAGCUAAGUGGACUCAGGGGGCAGACCUAUGUGUAAUUUUGUAGUGUCCCAGCAUCCGUUGAACACGACGUAAACAAGAUAUAAUUAUAUAAGAAAUGUAAUAAAGAUUGAUAUAAGAUUUAAAAAAUGAAGGUUGAGUGCUUGGUUUCCAGGCGGAAUCCUAAAACCUUGGGCAUCAAUAUGCGUGUUUGAACCACCCGGACACCCACGACCCCUAGAUCCUGAAUCUACCGUUGAUGUGGUUUCAUGAUACCUAACUCAUCAAUGUAUGAAAAUCGAUGGGCUUUACAUUUUCUUUAACUAAUCAGUAUAUAAGGACCUAAAAAUAGUUGAGUCAUAUAAGCAUUUCACAUUACAUUCUUCUACACUUUUUCUACCCCUUUCAUAAUAGUACCAAGCCAAAAGGUACCUACAAAGAUGGAAGUUAAGAACAAGUAUGUAGCAAUAAAAGCCAACAUCAAUGGUGCACCAGAAGAGUCAGACUUCGAGAUAAAAGUCAAAAACCUCUCACAUAUAGUUGAGCCAGAGUCUAAGGAGGUUGUCAUCAAGAACCUGUUAGUAUCGAUUGAUCCUUAUCAGAUAAACCGGAUGAAGAGCCAAAGUUCAUCACAAACAUCGAUAAGUUAUGCAACUGCCAUUACUCCUGGCGAGGUCAUUGACACUUAUGGUGUAGGAAGAGUGUUGGUUUCUCAUCGGCCCGACUUCAAGAAAGGUGACUUGGUAUCUGGGCUGCUUACCUGGGGAGAGUACACUGUUGUAAAGGAAGGUUCCCUGUUGAAUAAGUUGGACCCUUCUCUGGCAUUUCCUUUGUCUUACCAUGUCGGAGUUUUUGGAUUCAGUGGACUUGCUGCCUAUGGUGGAUUCUUCGAAGUGUGUAAACCGAAGCCAGGGGAGAAAGUUUUCGUGUCUGCUGCUUCUGGUUCAAUAGGACAUUUAGUAGGACAGUAUGCUAAAUUACUAGGAUGUUAUGUUGUUGGCUCUGCUGGUAGCCAAGAAAAGGUAAAUUUUCUUAAGGAGACACUUGGAUUCGACGAUGCAUUCAAUUAUAAACAAGAAACUGACCUCAAAUCGGCUCUCAAAAGGUGUUUCACUCAAGGGAUCGAUGUCUACUUUGACAAUGUGGGAGGCAAGAUGCUAGAAGCAGCAGUGGCAAACAUGAAUUCAUUCGGCAGAGUAGCCAUCUGUGGGGUUAUUUCUGAGUACACGAAUGCUAGCACACGAGCUGCCCCAGAUAUGAAGGAUAUAGUCUACAAGAGGAUUAGAAUCCAAGGAUUCCUAGCAGCUGAUUUCAUGCCAGUGUAUGCAGAUUUCCUGUCGAAAACAGUUGAGUACCUCCAAGAUGGAAAACUUAAGACCAUCGAAGAUAUCUCACAAGGCGUUGAAAGCAUCCCCUCUGCUUUUAUUGGACUGUUCAAUGGUGAUAAUAUAGGCA
rnacentral:lncRNA from 1 species